GCGAAGCUGAUCAUCAAUACCGCGUGUGUGAAGAAGGCCUGAGGGUUGUAAAGCACUUUCAAUAGGAAGGAAUACCUGCCGGCUAAUACCCGGCAGACUGACAUUACCUAUACAAGAAGCACCGGCUAACUACGUGCCAGCAGCCGCGGUAAUACGUAGGGUGCGAGCGUUAAUCGGAAUUACUGGGCGUAAAGCGUGCGCAGGCGGUUAUACAAGACAGGCGUGAAAUCCCCGGGCUUAACCUGGGAAUGGCGCCUGUGACUGUAUAGCUAGAGUGUGUCAGAGGGGGGUAGAAUUCCACGUGUAGCAGUGAAAUGCGUAGAUAUGUGGAGGAAUACCAAUGGCGAAGGCAGCCCCCUGGGAUAACACUGACGCUCAUGCACGAAAGCGUGGGGAGCAAACAGGAUUAGAUACCCUGGUAGUCCACGCCCUAAACGAUGCUGACUAGUUGUUCGGGAUUUACAUCCUGAGUAACGUAGCUAACGCGUGAAGUCAGCCGCCUGGGGAGUACGGUCGCAAGAUUAAAACUCAAAGGAAUUGACGGGGACCCGCACAAGCGGUGGAUGAUGUGGAUUAAUUCGAUGCAACGCGGAAAAACUU
rnacentral:rRNA from 1 species